UGGCGCCUGCGAAUUUGAGAUUCGAUUGGGAGGAACCUCUUACUCGGGGGCAAUGGAUUCUGGACUACGGCUGACCAGCGUUUUCACUUUGUUCUUCUCCGGCUUGUGGCAUUUAGGAUUAACGGCGGCAAACUACAACUGUGAUGACCCAUUAGCAUCCUUGCUCUCUCCAGUGGCUUUUUCCAGCUCCUCAGACCUCAAUGGUACUCACAUCCCAGCUCAGCUCAACCGAAGAGUUGGAACUGGCGGUUGGUCCCCAGCAGAUUCCAAUGCUCAGCAGUGGCUCCAGAUGGACCUGGGCAACAGAGUGGAGAUUACAGCAGUGGCCACGCAGGGAAGAUACGGAAGCUCUGACUGGGUGACGAGCUACAGCCUGAUGUUCAGUGACACAGGACGCAACUGGAAACAGUACAAGCAAGAAGACAGCAUCUGGACCUUUGCAGGAAACAUGAACGCUGACAGCGUGAUGCACCACAAGUUACUGUACUCUGUGAGAGCCCGGUUCGUUCGCUUUGUGCCCCUGGCGUGGAAUCCAAGUGGAAAGAUCGGCAUGAGGGUUGAGGUCUAUGGAUGCUCCUAUAAAUCAGACAUCGCCGACUUUGAUGGCCGAAGCUCCCUUCUGUACAGGUUCAAUCAGAAACUGAUGAGUACUCUCAAAGAUGUGAUCUCCCUGAAGUUCAAGAGCAUGCAGGGAGAUGGGGUCCUGUUCCACGGAGAAGGACAGCGUGGGGACUACAUCACCCUGGAGCUCCAGAAGGGGAGGCUCGCCCUGCACCUCAACUUGGAUGACAGCAAACCUCGGCUCAGCAGCAGCCCCCCCUCGGCCACCCUGGGCAGCCUCCUAGAUGACCAGCACUGGCACUCCGUCCUUCUCGAGCGGGUCGGCAAGCACGUGAACUUCACUGUGGACCGCCACACACAGCACUUCCGGACCAAGGGCGAGGCGGAUGCCUUAGACAUCGACUAUGAGCUUAGUUUUGGAGGAAUUCCAGUACCAGGCAAACCUGGGACCUUUUUAAAGAAAAACUUCCACGGAUGUAUCGAAAACCUUUACUACAAUGGAGUAAACAUAAUUGACCUGGCUAAAAGGCGGAAGCAUCAGAUCUACACCGUGGGCAAUGUCACUUUUUCCUGCUCCGAACCACAAAUUGUUCCCAUCACAUUUGUCAACUCGAGCAGCAGUUAUUUGCUGCUGCCCGGCACCCCCCAAAUCGAUGGGCUCUCGGUGAGUUUCCAGUUUCGAACAUGGAACAAGGAUGGUCUGCUUCUGUCCACGACGCUCUCUGAGGGCUCAGGGACCCUGCUGCUGAGCCUGGAGGAUGGAACCCUGAGACUCGUGAUUCAGAAAAUGACAGAACGUGCAGCUGAAAUUCUCACAGGCAGCGACUUGAAUGAUGGCUUGUGGCAUUCAGUGACCAUCAACGCCAGAAGGAACCGUAUCUCUCUCACUCUGGAUAACGAUGCAGCAUCCCCGGCUCAGGACACCACCCGGAUGCAGAUUUAUUCUGGAGAUCGCUAUUACUUUGGAGGGUGCCCCGACAAUCUCACCGACUCCCAGUGCUUAAAUCCCAUUAAGGCUUUCCAAGGCUGCAUGAGGCUCAUCUUUAUUGAUAACCAGCCCAAGGACCUCAUUUCAGUUCAGCAAGGUUCCCUGGGGAAUUUUAGUGAUUUACACAUUGAUCUGUGUAGCAUCAAAGACAGGUGUUUGCCAAACUACUGUGAACACGGAGGAAGCUGCUCCCAAUCCUGGAUGACCUUCUACUGUAACUGCAGUGACACAGGCUACGUGGGCGCCACCUGCCAUAACUCCCUCUACGAGCAAUCCUGUGAGGUGUACAGGCACCAAGGCAACACAGCUGGUUUCUUCUACAUCGACUCAGAUGGCAGUGGGACCCUGGGACCUUUCCAAGUGUACUGCAACAUCACAGAGGACAAGAUCUGGACAUUGAUGCAGCACAACAACACAGAGCUGACCCAUGUGCGAGGUGCCAGUGCUGAGAAGCCCUACUCCAUGACCUUGGACUACGGAGGCAGCCUGGAGCAGCUGGAGGCCGUGAUCGACGGCUCGGAGCACUGUGAACAGGAGGUGUCCUACCACUGCAAGAGGUCCCGCCUGCUCAACACGCCAGAUGGAACCCCAUUGACCUGGUGGAUCGGACGGUCCAAUGAAAGACACCCCUACUGGGGAGGCGCCCCUCCCGGAGUUCAGCAGUGUGACUGUGGCCUAGACGAGAGCUGCCUGGACAUUCGACACUUUUGCAAUUGUGACGCUGACAAGGACGAAUGGACAAAUGAUACUGGCUUUCUUUCCUUCAAAGACCACUUGCCUGUCACUCAGAUAGUUAUCACUGAUACCAACAGAUCAAACUCAGAAGCUGCUUGGAGAAUUGGUCCCUUGCGUUGCUAUGGUGACCGACACUUCUGGAAUGCGGUAUCAUUUUAUACAGAAGCCUCUUACCUCCACUUUCCUACUUUCCAUGCGGAAUUCAGUGCUGACAUUUCCUUCUUUUUUAAAACCAUGGCUUUAUCUGGAGUUUUCCUAGAAAACCUUGGCAUUAAAGACUUCAUCCGACUUGAAAUAAGCUCUCCUUCCGAGGUCACGUUUGCCAUUGAUGUUGGGAAUGGCCCUGUAGAGCUCAUAGUCCGGUCCUCUUCUCCUCUGAAUGACAACCAAUGGCAUUAUGUCUGGGCUGAGAGGAACCUCAAGGAGACCUCACUCCAGGUGGACAACCUCCCAAGGAUGACCAGGGAGACCUCAGAGGAGGGCCAUUUCCGGUUACAGCUCAACAGCCAGCUGUUUGUAGGGGGAACAUCAUCAAGACAGAAAGGCUUCCUAGGAUGCAUACGCUCCUUACACUUGAAUGGGCAGAAACUGGACCUGGAGGAGAGGGCAAAGGUCACGUCUGGAGUCCGGCCCGGAUGCCCGGGCCAUUGCAGCAGUUACGGCCACAUCUGCCACAACGGGGGCAAGUGUGUGGAGAAGCACAGUGGAUACUUCUGCGACUGCACCAAUUCGCCAUACGAAGGGCCCUUUUGCAGAAAAGAGGUUUCUGCUGUCUUUGAGGCUGGCACUUCAGUGACGUACAUGUUUCAAGAACCCUACCCGGUGACCAAGAAUAUAAGCCUCUCUUCCUCAGCGAUUUAUGCAGAUGCAACCCCAUCCAAAGAAAACAUUGCAUUGAGCUUUGUGACAGCCCAGGCACCCAGUCUCCUGCUCUGUAUCAACUCUUCUUCUCAGGGCUACCUGGCUGUCCUGCUCUGCAAGAAUGGAAGCUUACAAGUUCGCUACCAGCUAAGCAAGGAAGAAACCCAUGUAUUCACCAUCGAUACAGAGAACUUUGCCAACAGAAGACUGCACCACCUGAAGAUUAACCGAGAGGGCAGAGUGCUUACCAUUCAGAUGGAUCAACACCUCCGACUCAGUUAUAACUUCUCCUCAGAGGUUGAGUUCAGGGCUAUCAGGUCCCUCACCUUGGGCAAAGUCACAGAGAAUCUUGGAUUGGAUUCUGAAGUUGCUAAAGCAAACACCCUGGGUUUUGUUGGCUGUCUGGCUUCAGUCCAAUACAACCAUAUAGCACCACUGAAGGCAGCCCUGCGCCAUGCCGCCACUGCACCUGUAACCAUCCAAGGGAUCUUGACAGAAUCCAGCUGUGGCUCGAUGAUGGAUUCGGAUGUGAAUGCAGUGACCACGGUGCAUUCUUCAUCAGAUCUUCUUGGGAAGACAGAUGAGCGGGGACCACUCACCAACGCAGUGCAAAGUGACUCGGCUCUCAUCGGAGGAGUAAUAGCAGUGGUGAUAUUCAUCAUCUUCUCAAUCAUCGCCAUCAUGAGCCGCUUCCUUUACCAGCAUAAGCAGUCACAUCGUACCAACCAGAUGAAGGAGAAGGAAUAUCCGGAAAAUUUGGACAGUUCCUUUAGAAAUGACAUUGAUUUGCAAAACACAGUGAGCGAGUGUAAGCGGGAAUAUUUCAUCUGAAAAACUGCAGGGCCACCUCAUACUCUUCCUUUGUUGUUCAUUUUUGGUUUCUCCUUCUCCUCUUUCUCCUAUCUUUCAUUUUGGUGAUUCUCUUUCUCUGUUUUCCUUUUAUUUUUGGAACAUACCUGCAUUCACCACAGCAUCUAUCCCCUCGAACCAGCCCAGAAUACCAGGCAGCUAUGGCCACUGCCUUCCUCUGUGACAAACUUAUCAUGGUGAAAACGAUCAUAUUCAAGAGACUGAUUACUUUAGACAAGGAAGAGACACAUGUGUGCACAUGUCCAUAUUCAGUUCUGUAUUUCCACUUUCUAAGAUGCAGCCUUCAGUUCUGCAACCAUUCAGUCUUACAGGCUUACCUUGAACCUGAGCUCUGUGACUUCGGCAUGAAACGGUCAUCCUCAACACCCUCCCCCAUUUCAAGUCCACUCCGACCAGGGAACUCAGGGUACCAAAAGAAGAUGCUAGGGCCUGGUUUGUGUCAGUGGCACUUUAAAAGGAACAAGAGAGGUUUGUUUUGUGUUAAUUCCCCCCCCCCCCAGGAAGCCCAUUACCCUAACUCAUCAUCAUCGUUCGCUCUGACUCAUCCCCUGAGUAUUUUCAAAUAUAGGAUUCCUGAUAGUCGUGAGCUAUUGCUUUGUUCCUUUCUUACCACUCUCUCCCGGGGCUGACACUUUAGAACAGCACACAAUAGCAUAAACCUAGGGGAAGCAUGGAAAAUAGUCGCUUGAAACUAGGAGGUAAAAAGAAAGCUGCUAGGAAGUAGAUGUUCUAUAACUUAAAAAAUGCCUCUUCCAAUUUUGUGAGAAAUACUAACUAGGUUAUUCCUGGGAUUAUUAUACUGAUAUAUAUAUAUAUAUCAUUGCUGCAGCAAAAAGCAAUUCAAAUAAAAGUCUAAAUUAGCACUUGGUUCCAUGAAAGAGCUUAAACCAUCUUAACUCAGCUUUAAAGAAAAACAAAAACAAAAAACAAAGCAAGACAAACAAACAAAAAACUGCAUGAAAGCAAAGAAAUACCAAACAGAAUUCUUUCCUUCCCUCUCCUCACUAAAGAUCUGGUGAAGAAAGUAAACACAGGUUUCACAUUUUAGAAUAGACAUAAUAAUCCAUGUCUGUCCACUGAGCCAUUUCUCUAGGAGGUUUAGGAUGAACUGAUGUGUGAGGCAUUCUGACUAGCUCCAGGGAGACCCCACUGCUUAAUUUGAGAGGAGCCCUUAAGUCCUACACACAUCACAUUUUCAGAUCCACUUCAGCCUAUGUAUAUAAAGGCCCCACACACACUUCUUUCUGCAGGCAUAAACUCCCAGAUGAGGCAGUGACACAUUUCAGGGUAUUUGCCCCUUUUGAUACCAAAACAUCCGUGAAACACAGUCAUUCCUUCAAGAAGUUAUCUUGGGCACAUGCACGAGGUGGUGGUACGAAUCCUGGUGAUUUUGCUGUAGUGAUAUUCCUCACUCUUUGCCUCUGGUCAAGCUUCAGGAAAAAGAUAAGGGGGAAAGGAUAUAAAUGCUCCAGUAGGCUGGGAAUGCGAAUAGAAUGGUCCACAGACGUGGAAAUUACUUGCUAAUUCUCUUUACAAGACAGACUCGAUUUGCAUCCCAUCUUGUUCUCCGUGUGUCCGUCACUUCUGACUAUUUAACACUUUCCUGCAUGAAAAGGCUCACAAGGAGGAAUUCCUCAGCUUCACCCCAUUUCAGGUCUAUUCCAGACUUUUCUUUCAGUGUCAGAGCACGUGGGGUAAGGAUUUCAUUUGUAAUCAUAUUUCUCAACUUGAAGAUGUUGUUCCAAAUACACCCUCUCUUUUCAAACUUUUCUGUGGAUUCUUACUUACUCAUUCCCAUUAUAUCCUUUUGCUAGCAAAUUUAUUUUAAAGGGGUUCUAACAAAGGUAACUUUUUUUUUCCUUCUAACUUUAAUAAGAUGAAUAAUCCAUUCAUAAGAGGAAAGAUCUUUACUGUUUCCUCCUGCCCUGUUCUCUCCUAUUUCCAAUGUUCACUCCUGAAUUUUAUCUUUCCAUAAAAAGGCUAUAUAAAUCAGCCUUUUGCUUGGUGACAUAGUCCUUCGUCCCCUGAAAUAAAAGUCACCAUGAAGUGUAGUGGGUUUAGCCCAAAGCAUCUCCAGUAACGAAAUGGAAGGGAAAAGGAAGGUGUGAGUAAUAAAACUGGAACUGCUCAUUAUUCAGUCUCUGAGAAGUAGGGACUAUAUUUUGCUGACCCAGUAUUGAUAGAAGAAAUGGAGUACUAACAGAGGCCGCCUUGGAGGAUCUGCUUUUCUUAUCCACUUUUAUAGGCUUGUGGGGGGGUUCUGCAGGGUGAAAAAUUUGGGAAGCUACAUCCUUGUCACAUCUGCACUACAGAAUCUACCAGCAAACCUCCCCACAUCUAUAGACUAUCCAUCCAUACAUACUGCGUAUCACAGACUUAAUGACGAAUGCCAAGACAGUGCAAUCAGCACGUCACUCUUAUAAGAAGAGUCUCAGGGCUAAAUAAGAAUUAUUUUUACAGGGUUGGAAUAUUUCAUAACCCCAGAGAACACUAACUUUCACCAGAUGUGUAUGGAAAGCAAGCAAGCUGCUCUCUCCAAAGGAAAACACAAUUUGCAAUGACAAAGAAGUGUGAACUCUGCCUGUCUUUCCUCCGUGGUACCAAGAUCCAUGGAGUUUUGUGUAAUUGUUGAAUUGUGUGAGUGUUUCAAUCCUUGAACAAUUAUAAUCUAAAACAAACAGUCCUUGAAAGCAUUCUAAUGCCUCCUUAACCACAGUUUUCUGCUUCAGGUUUCCUGACUGCAUGCUCUGGCCAACUGGAUCGCCCUAAUCCUACAUUUUAACCCUAUUUGGUAAUUGCUGUUUACCAACAUAUUUUAUGGAAUGUGGUCACUUUACAGGAAAACCAAAAAUACAUGUGCAAUUUCACAUUCUAGGGGGGCUAUUUCAUUGAUACUAUUCCCACCAAACAAAUCUGUGUAUGUAAGCAGCAGUGUAUUUGCUUACCCUAAAUAUAUAUUUAACACUGCAUCUCUGUGUGUGUGUAUAGGUUAGAUCACCAUGGUUUUUAGGAGAACUUGUCUACAGAAUUAAACAUUUGUCACUUCUCGAGAUAUAUUUUUAAGAAACGCUUAGCCCUUCUGUACUCUGAACUGCAAAUGUAAUAUUUAUUUUAAGGAUCCUAGGGCUGAUUCUUUUAAAACAGUUUUUAUCCCCUUUAGUAAUAACAGAGAUGGUACCCACCUGACUUCCACCUUUUGUCAGACUGAUGCCCAACCACAGGGUUGGUCACAGGAGUAGGAUCAGAACAAAAGAAAAAAAAUUGUUCUGUACUUUACUCAUUCAUGAAGUUUUUAUUGAAUACCCAAUACUCCAAGGGUUGUGCUAGAUAUUGGGUGUAUUCAUAUACAUUACGCCUUGUUCUUGCCUUUGAGAAGCCCAAAGUCCAGCAGGGAAGGCAUGUAUUGUUGUAAUAGGGGUAUGCAUAAAAUGCAGUAAAAUAUAGGGCUAAGGUUCUACACUAUCAUUCUAGUAACACCUUUGCUAGAGACGGAAAGAAACAUAAUUUCUGGAAAAUAUUUAUAUAUAUUUUUUCUUGUUUUUUACUUCCACCUUCAGUAAGCUGCUUUGUUUCUCUUCCUCGAAGCAAAUGUCAGUCUACACUGGUGUGUUUCUGUGGAGGGAGAUGGGUUGACUCUUUAGGGGUGCAAAGGUGGUUAAAGGAAGACGGUGUUGGCAAACUCAAAACUUUCAGAAUGCUUGGAAGAUAACUGAGUGCUAUUUCAUGUCUCUCAUGCAGUUUGAUAGUGUUUUCUUUAAAAAACACAGAGUCUGAUUGAAUUACUUCGAUAUACUGUUCUUGGGUCUUUCUUACCCUCCCCCCAUCUCCUCACCCACACUCUUACUUGUUAAGCCAUCUAGUUUGAAGAUUUUGCUUGUCCUUAGUUUUCAUCCCUGCUUUUACAAAUUCCAAAGAGCUGAACCUCCUAAAGGGGGAAAAAAAAAAAAUCACAAACGCACACCUACACAAACUCUUUGUCAAAAUAGGUUUGUUAUUCAGGCUUCCUUUGUGACAUUCUCCAUACAUCUCUGUUUGACAGGGAGAGACACAUUUCCUUUUGAGUUGACAGUUAUUUGAAGCCUUCAUAGAAGGUUUUCAUAUUUAACUCUUUUUUUCUGUUUUUGAACAACUUUUGUGUUACUUUCCACUAAGGUACUCUGAGGGAGAACAGAAAAGCACACUUUUUUUUUUUUUAGUGAAAUAUCGUACUUUGUAAGCAAAUUGUCUGUCUUUUGUAAUGUUUAUAGUCUACAAAGUGGCCGAACAGACGUGAGCAAAUAUGAAGGCAAAAGUUGGUUUGGGUGUUUUGACCACACCCCCUGGGAACAGGUUGAGGAGGAAGAGGGGACACAUGGAGACAACUGAUGACCUUCCUGCGAGAGGAAAGUCACUGCUUCCACCGUGACUCACUGGCAGCAGCUCCUCCCACUCUCCUGGCUCCUAACUCAGGAGUCUCUUUAAUGCACUUGGAUCAUCACCUUAGGGAAAGAGGCAAUAUCAUGGGCUUUGCAUGAGGAAUCUUUACUUAACUUGGCACGAUAUUUUUGACUCUUCCCAGCUCUACAUCAGCUACAUCUUUUUUUUUUUUUUCAAGAUGUUUAUUUCAUCAGGAAUUUUCCAGGAUGCUUUAGAGUUAUCACCACAAUGAUCUAACCUGCCCUGGUUGAAUACCCAGAUACAACUUUAAGGAAAAGGAGCUGUCAGAAAGCUCCCUAGCUCCACUAUCCUGAAUCAGCAGCUCCAUGGGUAGAAGCCCUGAGGUCCUGAAAUCAGACUAGGGGGUCUUUCUCUCCCCUUCAUUGGUCCUGCCAUGCACAGGCAGGCCAGAAUGAUGUUGAGGUAUGAUACUCCCCACCCCUGACAGCAAAUACUGCCAGGGACCCACCAUCCAACACUAUCUGGGAACACUGUUUUCUUCACCCCUCCCCAGUGAUACAGGGGAACUUUUGCAAAAUGGCAGGAGAAAAUAAGAGAGUAAUCCUAGGCCAUGAUCAAAGGUGAAGCUAAUUGUUUUAGUGAUUAAAUCCUAGUCUUUAUUUUCAUGAGCAUCACAUUCUUCCAUGCUUCUGAUGCCAGCAGUAGCCUCAGAGGACAUGAAAACAGGAAGCAACUGGAUCGUUGUAUUCCCCUGCAGACUCUUUGGAAGGCCUUCCCUUAAGUAGAAUUUUCAGUGACACCUUAGGGGGUAGUAUUAAUGAGCUUCUGCCUAGUCAGACGUUCCCAUUAUAGUCAACCCCAUCCCCAAGUCUUCACAGGAAAUAGUCUCUUCUCUUUGAAGGGCAGUGUCAACCUGUGUAACCUUCCCCUGCCUUAAAUACUCAUGCAAAAAAUACCAAACUUUGCUUACAACAGCAUAGUUAUAUGGUGAGAAGGACUUUGUAUUUAGUGAGGUCCAACAUCAAGAAUGUUCUCCUUCUGAAUCUGGUAGUUGACAGGCCUCCUGAUAAGCUGUGCUGUCUUGGGCUGUCACUUCCCUCGGUGCACUGGAGGAGGCUCAAAAGGUGCAGAGGUGUCAUCAGGAAUAGGAAUGCAGGCUGAGGGGGGGACCACAAGUCUGCCUCCAGGAUAUGCUAGGUAAGGAGCUAGCAAACUUUUUCUGUAUAGGGCCAGAUAGUCAGUACUUUAGGCUUUAUAGAACAGCCUGUGUUGCAACUACUCACCUUUGCUCUUGUAGCAGGAAGAGGGCCAUACAUGGACAAAGAGGCAUGGCUACGUUCCAACAAAACUUUAUUGACAAAAAUAGGCAACAGGUCAGAUUUGGCCCGUGGGCUGCAGUUUGCUGAGCCCUGUGAUACCAUAUUACAAUGUCCACUUCAGAUGGGAAAUCAGUCUUGUUCUGGCAUAUAGUGGUCCUCCUUUUUGAAGAAUGGGAAAGAGUAGGGAGAUUAUUUUUAACAAGGAAACAAUAAAAUACAAAAUAACCUCUUCAAAAAUAUAGAUGUCAGAUUCUUAUUACGGCAAAAGCACAAAACAGGUCACCUCUCUCUGUAGAUCUUCUGGAGUCUAGCUUUUCCUUUUGACCUUCUCAUUUUUGUUCCUGAAACAGAAUCCCAAGUGAUGUUGCCUCGUUCCAAGUCAGUUUUGUAGACCACGUAACAUGUCUUAAUACACUGUAUGGGGAAAAAUAAAAGUUAGCCUUAGAUUUCUUUGUUUUCUAUGGUUCCUGUUGUACAGAAGAAAGACUUACUCUGUAAAUAAUGUAUAUUUAAUAAAGAGAGAAUUUUGUAUGA